rnacentral:rRNA from 1 species
CCUACGGGAGGCAGCAGUGGGGAAUUUUGGACAAUGGGCGAAAGCCUGAUCCAGCCAUUCCGCGUGCAGGAUGAAGGCCCUCGGGUUGUAAACUGCUUUUGUACAGAACGAAAAGGUUUCUAUUAAUACUAGGAGCUCAUGACGGUACUGUAAGAAUAAGCACCGGCUAACUACGUGCCAGCAGCCGCGGUAAUACGUAGGGUGCAAGCGUUAAUCGGAAUUACUGGGCGUAAAGCGUGCGCAGGCGGUUAUAUAAGUCAGAUGUGAAAUCCCCGGGCUCAACCUGGGAACUGCAUUUGAGACUGUAUAGCUAGAGUACGGUAGAGGGGGAUGGAAUUCCGCGUGUAGCAGUGAAAUGCGUAGAUAUGCGGAGGAACACCGAUGGCGAAGGCAAUCCCCUGGACCUGUACUGACGCUCAUGCACGAAAGCGUGGGGAGCAAACAGGAUUAGAUACCCUGGUAGUCCACGCCCUAAACGAUGUCAACUGGUUGUUGGGUCUUAACUGACUCAGUAACGAAGCUAACGCGUGAAGUUGACCGCCUGGGGGAGGUACGGCCGCGAGGUUAGUAACGUACGAAGUAGAGUUAGUACGGCGUGAGACGUAGCCGACGGACGACGACGAGGGAGGAGGG